GACGAACGCUGGCGGCGUGCCUAAUACAUGCAAGUAGAACGCUGAAGGAGGAGCUUGCUCUUCUGGAUGAGUUGCGAACGGGUGAGUAACGCGUAGGUAACCUGCCUGGUAGCGGGGGAUAACUAUUGGAAACGAUAGCUAAUACCGCAUAACAGUAGAUGUUGCAUGACAUUUGCUUAAAAGGUGCAAUUGCAUCACUACCAGAUGGACCUGCGUUGUAUUAGCUAGUUGGUGGGGUAACGGCUCACCAAGGCGACGAUACAUAGCCGACCUGAGAGGGGGAUCGGCCACACUGGGAAUGAGACACGGCCCAGACUCCUACGGGAGGCAGCAGGAGGGGAUCUUCGGCAAUGGACGGAAGGCUGACCGAGCAACGCCGCGUGAGUGAAGAAGGUUUUCGGAUCGGAAAGCUCCGUUGUAAGAGAAGAAAGAGUGUGAGAGUGGAAAGUUCACACUGUGACGGUAUCUGACCAGAAAGGGACGGCUAACUACGUG
rnacentral:rRNA from 1 species